rnacentral:lncRNA from 10 species
AUGCAAGCUCCAUCCUCGAAGCUGUGCCAUUGCAUGGUCUCCAGGUAGCUCCCUCUGUUAGUUUCAGGGCCUGGGAGGGCUAAGAUAGAAGAAUAUUGUGGUGGGAAUGUGGUCUACUGGGGGUUUCUCACUUACCCUUUCACCACACUGGGGAGUCUCUCCUGGCUCCCAGCUGAUCCCAGCCAAGCAGCCUACCUUACUUUCCUCUCCUUCCUUGCCUUAGGUGUUUCCUGUCACUUUUCUGUUGACUUCCAGUGUUCUCUCAGAUGAUCUAUUUAAAAUGUGAUUUAUUUACUCACUAUUUUGGUUUCUCGUAGUGGAGAAGGCAAGUACAAAAUGCAUCUAGUCAGUCAUCCUUCCUCAUACAACACACUUUUAAAAUGGGCAAAAUAUUUGAACAGACACUUUACCAAAGAAGAUAUAUGAAUGAUGAAUAAGUACAUAUAAGUACAUUAAAAUAUAUUCAACAUGCAAUCCUCUAAAAGACUUAAGAAAAUUCUCAUAUGAUGGUGAUGACAUGAUUUUAAAAAUCUUUCCAACCCAUCACCCCCACCCUGCAUAAAAACAGCAACUAAAGUGGCAAAUGGGUACAGUGAUAUGUGCCUGUACUCACAGAUACUGGGGAGGCUGAGGCGGGAAGAUCACUUGAACCCAGGAGUUUGAGAUGAGUUGGAGCAACACAGAGGGACUCCAUCUCAAAAAAAAAAAAAAAAAAAAAAGGAAAGAGAGAAAAUAGAAAAAAAAGGCUGGCGUGAAGGGAGCUGUUUUAAUUGAUCAGUCACAGAUCAAACUCCUCGUUUCUAUUUCUUCCCUCUUCUCACUACUACACUUGACUAGUCUUAAAUAAAAUGAAAAAACCCACAGACAACAUCUACAACAAAACUAUGUGACAAAUUAUCCCCAAUGUUAGUAAAAAGUGCUUGGUGCCGCAACGAGAAACCAGCACUUAGACAGAAAAUUUUUUAGCAAGGCAAACUUACUUUUGCAGAAGGGGUGCUGCCUGCAUCUGUCUGAUUGCAAGAGCACGUUGAACAAAGGAGAGAAGGGUUUUUAUUCCUAAUGCAGCUUGUCUCUACUACUGUGUCCUGUCUUCGUUGGCUGGAGUUGGACCGCACAAUCUAAACUGAACCCGAUUGGCUAACUUGAAAGACAGCUUUGGCAGGAAGAGUCGUCACAGCGGGAGGGGUAAAUUACAGAGUGAGUAGUAGAUCUGGGCUCUGUGGAUAAGGACUGGCGGGAGAGUUGUUUACUGGAACUAGGAGCAGGGAGGCCCAAGGGUAAGGAAGUUGGACCUUGAAAGUAGAGAACAAAUAAACUAAACAAACUAAACUUUUGAAGAGAAACUUCUCUUGGAUCUGACACCCAAGAAUUUCCAAAUCUGAGAGUGUGUGAUAAGCCACUGACGGCUAUAAGACCCCCACUGCAUAAACAUCAUCUUUGUAGAAAGCAGCAGAAGGCAGCUUUGGGUAGCUAAUGGACCUAAGAACUGAGGAACUCCAAGUCACCCAAAGGUACUCAUUGAAAAUGCAGAGGACCAACAGACAACAGCUGUUGUACAAUAGGUUUACCUUAAGUGAUGAAAGGACUUGAGCUGGUGGGCCCUAGGAGUUCUCAAACUUCACCAGCUGAAGUCCCCUUCCAGGAUACACCCCUGCUUUGAGGAGACUCCCCUGGGAAUAAAAAUCCCUAUUAAAUAGGACAGGGACAAAAAGGGUAAAGGAAAGGGAAGAUCCAGCUACAAAUGGGAGUGGGAACUGAAUCAGAUCUUAGAAAGGACAAGAAACAGCCCUCCUGACCAACUCCCUCCUGCCAUACCCCCCAAACCGAGGUUCAGAAAAAUGAAUUAGAAGUAGAUAUAUAAACAAAGCUCACAUAUCGGCUCCCAAGUCCCCAGGUGAUGCCACAUUUGGGCAAGGUCAUCACUGGGAGAUCAAAUUUUAUAGUCAGGUCCUCAGAUUGGGAAAUAUUUUCUAGCAAUGUCUGUAUGUAAUAAUAUUUUACUGAUAUAAAAACAACUGGUGGUCAUGUGGUGUUUGCUGUCACACAAAUUGUUGUGAUGACAGUCAAAGUGGCAUACUCAGUUUAUAAGAUGGAGUAGGACAGAGAUCAUUGUCAUGGGCAACAUAUGCAACUUGCCUCUGACAAGUCUGCAGCAA